rnacentral:rRNA from 1 species
AGGAAUUGGCGGGGGAGCACCGCAACGGGAGGAGCGUGCGGUUUAAUUGGAUUCAACACCGGAAAACUCACCAAGGGCGACUGUUACAUGAAAGCCAGGCCGAUGACCUUGCUAGAUUUUCAGAGAGGUGGUGCAUGGCCGUCGUCAGUUCGUACCGUAAGGCGUUCUCUUAAGUGAGAUAACGAACGAGACCCUCACCGAUAAUUGCUACCCCUUCCUCCGGGGAGGGGGCACAUUAUAGGGACCGCUGGCGCUAAGCCAGAGGAAGGAGAGGUCAACGGUAGGUCAGUAUGCCCCGAAUCUCUUGGGCUACACGCGCGCUACAAAGGGCGGGACAAUGGGCUCCGACGCCGAGAGGCGGAGGCAAUCCCGAAACCCGCCCGUAGUUCGGAUCGGGGGUUGUAACCCACCCCCGUGAAGCUGGAUUCCGUAGUAAUCGCGAAUCAACAACUCGCGGUGAAUAUGCCCCUGCUCCUUGCACACACCGC